GAGAAGACAUUGUGUCUUCGAGUCGUUGAUUUCACACUGCCGAGAAAAGCCUCUAGAUAGAAAAUAGGUGCCCGUACCGCAAACCGACACAGGUAGUCAAGAUGAGAAUUCUAAGGUGAGCGAGCGAACUCUCGUUAAGGAACUCGGCAAAAUGACCCCGUAACUUCGGGAGAAGGGGUGCUCUUUAGGGUUAACGCCCAGAAGAGCCGCAGUGAAUAGGCCCAAGCGACUGUUUAUCAAAAACACAGGUCUCUGCUAAACCGUAAGGUGAUGUAUAGGGGCUGACGCCUGCCCGGUGCUGGAAGGUUAAGAGGAGUGGUUAGCUUCUGCGAAGCUACGAAUCGAAGCCCCAGUAAACGGCGGCCGUAACUAUAACGGUCCUAAGGUAGCGAAAUUCCUUGUCGGGUAAGUUCCGACCCGCACGAAAGGCGUAACGAUUUGGGCACUGUCUCAACGAGAGACUCGGUGAAAUCAUAGUACCUGUGAAGAUGCAGGUUACCCGCGACAGGACGGAAAGACCCCGUGGAGCUUUACUGUAGCCUGAUAUUGAAAUUCGGCACAGCUUGUACAGGAUAGGUAGGAGCCUUUGAAACGUGAGCGCUAGCUUACGUGGAGGCGCUGGUGGGAUACUACCCUAGCUGUGUUGGCUUUCUAACCCGCACCACUUAUCGUGGUGGGAGACAGUGUCAGGCGGGCAGUUUGACUGGGGCGGUCGCCUCCUAAAAGGUAACGGAGGCGCUCAAAGGUUCCCUCAGAAUGGUUGGAAAUCAUUCAUAGAGUGUAAAGGCAUAAGGGAGCUUGACUGCGAGACCUACAAGUCGAGCAGGGUCGAAAGACGGACUUAGUGAUCCGGUGGUUCCGCAUGGAAGGGCCAUCGCUCAACGGAUAAAAGCUACCCCGGGGAUAACAGGCUUAUCUCCCCCAAGAGUUCACAUCGACGGGGAGGUUUGGCACCUCGAUGUCGGCUCAUCGCAUCCUGGGGCUGUAGUCGGUCCCAAGGGUUGGGCUGUUCGCCCAUUAAAGCGGUACGCGAGCUGGGUUCAGAACGUCGUGAGACAGUUCGGUCCCUAUCCGUCGUGGGCGUAGGAAAUUUGAGAGGAGCUGUCCUUAGUACGAGAGGACCGGGAUGGACAUACCUCUGGUGUACCAGUUGUCGUGCCAACGGCAUAGCUGGGUAGCUAUGUGUGGACGGGAUAAGUGCUGAAAGCAUCUAAGCAUGAAGCCCCCCUCAAGAUGAGAUUUCCCAACUUCGGUUAUAAGAUCCCUCAAAGAUGAUGAGGUUAAUAGGUUCGAGGUGGAAG
rnacentral:rRNA from 1 species